UACGAAGGGGGCUAGCGUUGUUCGGAAUUACUGGGCGUAAAGCGCGCGCAGGCGGCUAUCCAAGUCAGUGGUGAAAGCCCCGGAGCUUAACUCCGGAACUGCCAUUGAAACUGUUUAGCUUGAGGACGAGAGAGGUGAGUGGAAUUCCCAGUGUAGAGGUGAAAUUCGUAGAUAUUGGGAAGAACACCGGUGGCGAAGGCGGCUCACUGGCCCGAUACUGACGCUGAGGUGCGAAAGCGUGGGGAGCAAACAGG
rnacentral:rRNA from 1 species